AUCCCAAAAAUUGGUUUUCUGAUGAGAUUGUCAUAUUGUUAGCAUUAAGACAUUUUAAGUAUUGUAGUUUAGCCUAAUAAUUUCUCAUUUUAGAUUAAUUUGAAAUUCUUUGACCUCUAACUGAGGUCGAUUUCUCAUUACUGGUGAUUAUAUCCAAACAUGGAGGAAUAACAGACCACCAAAGUGCCAAAAUCUACCUU